rnacentral:tRNA from 7 species
GGAGAGGUGCGAGAGUGGCCGAAUCGGGCGGUCUCGAAAACCGUUGACCGGCAACGGUCCGUGGGUUCGAAUCCCACCCUCUCCGCCA